CUUGUAUAAAAGAUUGGACGUGAUUUUUACUUUCUAUAUAAUUUUAUAAAAAUUUAUGAUUAGGUAAAAAAGCCUAGAUAAAUUAAAGGGACGAUAAGACCUUAGAAUCUAAUAAAUAAUAAUUAAAUUCAUUAGAAUUUAAGUAAAUCAUAUUUGUUGGGGUGACAAAAAAAAAAACAUUUUUUAUAAACACAUAUUGAAUGAAUGAUAUAUAAGUUCUUUAUAUUAUACUUGGAGAUAGGUACUCUAGGGAUAACAGCAUAAUUUUCUUGAAAAGUUCAUAUUAAUAAGAAAGAUUAUGACCUCGAUGUUGAAUUAAUAAUCACUUUAUUGAGCAAAAACAAUAUUAAGUAGGUCUGUUCGACCUUUAAUUUAUUACAUGAUCUGAGU
rnacentral:rRNA from 1 species